GCAAAUGUAGCUCAGAGGCAGGGUGCAUGCUUUACAUGCAUAAGACCCUGAGUUUAAUCCUCAGCAUUACCC
rnacentral:tRNA from 1 species